GGAACUUGCAGGGCCCUCCAGUCACACCCAAGGUUAGUCGUGGUCUGAAGCAUUAUGGCUGCAAAAUCUGGGGCUCAUAACACCCAGCAUGUGAAGUACCUUGAGCUACCGCGAAACUGUGCCUGCGUGUUGGCCUUUUUCAGGAAGACUGUGCUCUAAAUUAAGUAAACAUCCACUCAGGGAAGCCCCACAGCCUGGGUUGUGCAAGACAUUAGAUUAGGUUUACAAGGCUGUCUCCUAGAUUUACAACUGCAAAACAGCCCAAUCCGCCCCCCAGCUGACUGGGCACAAUGUUACCCCCCUGGAAAUCUAAGCAAGAGCUAGCUGGGCGAGCCGACCUGUGAAUAGCUCCCACUGCUUGCCUGACAGCAAAAUCUGCUCACAAAUAUGCCAUGCUUAUCUGGUAGCUUGUUUUUAAGUUUAUGUCUAGAGAUUGUACAAAUGAAACACAUCAGUGAGAUUCAGUGUCCGUGGAUGUGAGUUACAGACUGCUGUUUUGUUGUUUUUCUAAAUUGGCUUUAUCUGAAGCUUGCUUCUAUGCUAAACUGAGGAAAAGCAUGGAGGACAAAGAAAAUUCCUCAGUUUCAGAUAGAGUCAGUUCAAAAGUUGAGCACUGCUCUGCAUAAGAGAAUUGUGGUUGAAUAAUGAAAUUUUAAAACAACUCAGAGACGUACGCUGCCGCUUACUUCCCCCUUGGUAAAACUAACAUGCAAGUGCAGAAGUAAACGUAAUCUGUGAUGAGAAUUUCUUCUGGCUUUCAAAACAUCAGCAAGAGGAUACUCAGGCUGCACAUUUGGGGCCUCUUCUGAUGCAUGACCUUCUCAAAAUUUAUUUGCGUGGCUGCUGCCAACAGGCCUCUGAAAAGCACCAAAGUUUUUGAAUUGCUGUUGGGGUCAUCUUACUCAGCUGGGGAGCCAUGACUUGGUGGAUAUAUCAGCUAUCCCACUGCUAUGUAUGAUAUGUUUCCUUUUCCUUCUGCGUGUGGGCAGCCAAUGUGAACUCCAUCUGUUCAAAAUCAGACCAAGUUUUUCAUUUUUUUUCUUUCCUGGGAAAGAAUUUUUAUUCAUCCUGUAGUUGCCCAUACCAUUGGGAUUAGGUGGCCACUUUGCUGGAUGGAUGGAUGGAGAGGAAAGAUAUCUGCUUAGGGUAAGACUGGCUGCAUCCAUUUCGUAGCCCUCUGCUUUGGGAAAAAAAAAAAAAAAAAAAGCAUCAGAGUUAGACCAGAAGAAAAAAAAAAGGGAAGGACCAAAAAGCUCAAUUAAAAAAAAAAAAAAAGAAAAUCAAUUUGCUGACUGCUCCAUUUAUUCUGAAUGACAAGGGAAGGUAUGAAGGCCUGUUCUUUUCUGUUCUCAGUGAGUGACAGAUUAUCCCAGCUGGUUACACAGCGGAUUUCCACCCCUACAUCAAUGAUGAUGAAUUCCUGCCUCUCCACUGGAUACCCAUGAACUUAAAAGCUGCCAUUCACACAAAUGCUGUAGAAUAACCACGUCAGCUCCAGCUAUUGGUCUCAUUUUGACCAUACCAAAGUUGUAUGCCCCUCUGACCAGCAGGACCUCAUCAAGGAGUUCUCCAAACUAGCCAAGCCAAGUAUAUCCAUGCACAGCUCUUUUCAGAUCUUCCUUAAGCUGUGUGGAUUUCUGAAAUACUGAAGUCCAGAGAAGUGUAAUGAAGCUGAUGAAGGGUCUAGAAAACAGGUCUUACAAGGAACAGCUGAGGGAGCUGGGCUGUUUAGCCUGGAAAAAGGGAUGCUCAAGGGAGACCUCAUCGUGCUUGACAAUUAUCUUAAAGGAGGCUGUAGUGAGGUAGAGAUUGUCUUAUCACUUUGUGUCUGGGAGAAGAGCCCAAAGAGAGAUGGCCUCAAGUUGCACUAGAGGAGGUUUAGGUUGGACAUUAAGAGAAAUUUCUUCACCAAAAGGGUUGUGAGGCAUUGGAACAGGCUGCCCAGGGAAGUGGUUGAGUCACUGCUCCUGGAGGUCUUCAAGAAACAUGUAGAUGUAGAACUUAGUAGCAUGGUUUAGUGGUGGACUUCAAUAGUAGGUUAAGGGUUGGAGUAGAUGAUCUGAGAGGUCUUUCCCAACCUGAAUGACUGUGAUUCUCCCCUUUCACAGGAUUUAAGUCCCCUUUCACAGAAGUAACACUGCAAGAGAAGCCCUGUGUGGGGGCACUCCUGUCCUUACUGCGUUCAGGGGAUGAAUCCUGUUGGCAUUCAGGGUUUCUGGGUCUACACAGGAGCUUUUAGCCAUGUGGGCUUGCUGGUCACAUCUCAGGCAAGGUGGCUGGAUCACUGGUGGGACAGGAGAUCCCAGGCUGCUGUAUGCAAACCCUUGUUGGGAGGGCACUGUCUGGUGGGCUGCUGGAGCAUCUGGCAUCCUGGCAGAAGAGUGGACAGUGCAAAGCAGAGCAGUGCUGAGAGUAGCAUUUGGUUUACUUUCCAGUUCCUCCCAGGUCUUUUAACCCAGAGGUGGAAUUACGCUGCGAGGGGAAGGUUAGAAACAUGCAAGUGCUCCUCAUGCAAAACCUAAUCUGGUUCGUUGGAGGUCGCGUACAUGGUUCUGUGAUUUACUUCAGGCUGAGAACAGCAUUUAGAAAGCCCUGUCACCACUCUUAAUUAUGUUGUGCAGAGCUCCUGGCUUAUUUUACAUUGUAGCAGAUGAGUGUAAUUAGCGUGUUUAGGAUCAGAGCGAUUGACUCGGCCACACGAAAGCCCAUGGCCAGCACCAGCAGUCGGGCAGCUCCAGCGGGGCUCACGGGCUCUGCUGAGAGGGGUUUCUGCUGACACUAGCUUCAUCUAUGCCAUUGUUUAAAGCCAAGAGCAAGGAGCAAUUUUAAAGUAAUAGAUAUAAGUGAAUUACUGCUGUAAAUCAGGGGAACAAAAAUCCCACUAAAUGGAGUAGGAUGUACCAUCUACUAUUUAGAGGAUGUACCAUCUACUGCUUACUCAGCUGUGCUUCAACAUAACCCUCCCACAAACUUUUUUCCCCAUACAGAAAAAUAAAUUAGGAACUAAAACAA